rnacentral:rRNA from 1 species
UACGAAGGGGGCUAGCGUUGCUCGGAAUCACUGGGCGUAAAGCGCACGUAGGCGGAUUGUUAAGUCGGGGGUGAAAUCCUGGAGCUCAACUCCAGAACUGCCUUCGAUACUGGCGAUCUUGAGUCCGGGAGAGGUGAGUGGAACUCCGAGUGUAGAGGUGAAAUUCGUAGAUAUCUGGAGGAACACCGGUGGCGAAGGCGGCAUCCUGGACCAACAUUGACGCUGAGGAGCGAAAAGCUAGGGGGAGCAAACGGG